rnacentral:rRNA from 1 species
UACGGGGGGGGCAAGCGUUGUUCGGAAUUACUGGGCGUAAAGGGCUCGUAGGCGGCCAACUAAGUCAAACGUGAAAUCCCUCGGCUUAACCGGGGAACUGCGUCUGAUACUGGAUGGCUUGAGUGUGGGAGAGGGAUGCGGAAUUCCAGGUGUAGCGGUGAAAUGCGUAGAUAUCUGGAGGAACACCGGUGGCGAAGGCGGCAUCCUGGACCAUUACUGACACUGAAUAGCGAAAGCCAGGGGAGCAAACGGG